rnacentral:rRNA from 1 species
UACGGAGGGGGCAAGCGUUAUUCGGAAUCAUUGGGCGUAAAGGGCGUGUAGGCGGCAGGGCAAGUCAAGGGUGAAAUCCCUCGGCUCAACCGAGGAAUUGCCUUUGAAACUGCUUUGCUUGAGGCCGGGAGAGGGUAGUGGAAUUCCCAGUGUAGCGGUGAAAUGCGUAGAUAUUGGGAGGAACACCAGUGGCGAAGGCGGCUACCUGGACCGGUUCUGACGCUGAGACGCGAAAGCGUGGGGAGCAAACAGG